rnacentral:rRNA from 1 species
UACGAAGGGUGCAAGCGUUAAUCGGAAUUACUGGGCGUAAAGCGUGCGCAGGCGGUUGUGUAAGUCAGAUGUGAAAUCCCCGGGCUCAACCUGGGAAUUGCAUUUGAGACUGCACGGCUAGAGUGUGUCAGAGGGGGGUAGAAUUCCACGUGUAGCAGUGAAAUGCGUAGAGAUGUGGAGGAAUACCGAUGGCGAAGGCAGCCCCCUGGGAUAACACUGACGCUCAUGCACGAAAGCGUGGGGAGCAAACAGG